CCUACGGGUGGCAGCAGUGAGGAAUAUUGGUCAAUGGACGAGAGUCUGAACCAGCCAAGUAGCGUGAAGGAUGACUGCCCUAUGGGUUGUAAACUUCUUUUAUAAAGGAAUAAAACGAGGCACGUGUGCCUUUUUGCAUGUACUUUAUGAAUAAGGAUCGGCUAACUCCGUGCCAGCAGCCGCGGUAAUACGGAGGAUCCGAGCGUUAUCCGGAUUUAUUGGGUUUAAAGGGAGCGUAGAUGGGUUGUUAAGUCAGUUGUGAAAGUUUGCGGCUCAACCGUAAAAUUGCAAUUGAUACUGGCAGUCUAGAGUACAGUUGAGGUAGGCGGAAUUCGUGGUGUAGCGGUGAAAUGCUUAGAGAUCACGAAGAACCCCGAUUGCGAAGGCAGCUUACUAAACUGUGACUGACAUUGAUGCUCGAAAGUGUGGGUAUCAAACAGGAUUAGAUACCCCAGUAGUC
rnacentral:rRNA from 1 species